rnacentral:sRNA from 1 species
GCUGGGCGUGGUGGUGUCUGUCUGUAGUCCUAGCUACUCAGGAGGCUGAGGUAGGAGAAUUGCUUGAGCCCAGGAGUUUGAGGUUACAGUGAGCUAUGAUUGCACUACUGCACUCUAGCCUGGGUGACAGAGCAAGACCCUAUUUCUU